GCCAUUCUAAUGCAUGCUCUCUCUCUGUCUCUCUUUCUUCCAUGUUCCAUUCUUCCCUCUCCAUCUCUUUGUUCCUCUUCACAGAUGAAAAACCUAUGGCUCCUUUUUUGACUCACUUUCUCUAUUAUUCCCCAAGCACUCUAGGAUUCUUGAGUUUGCCUGCCCGAAACUUACUCUUUCUUUCUUGCGAACCAAGACAACCCUAUGGCCAGGGUGGGGUUCGAGACCUUAGAGGUCAGAAAACAGGGGGAAGCUUCAGAGAACACCCUGGAAAGAUAAGAUGAACGUGGGGCAGAACAUUUCAAGUGGCAACAUAUGAAAGGAGGGCACGACAUCUUCCUUUUUGUUUUCUUUUUUGAAUUUUUUUGUAUUUAUCAUUUUUCGUGUACUCGGGUUGCUAUUACUGCAACAAUUCUUUGUGUAAAACUUUAUUUUCAUUUCCCUGUAACUUUUCAUUUCCUUGUGUGCCUACAUCUUAUUUGUACACGUGCCCUUCUCUUCUAAUAUUCCAACUACAAUUCCAUGUCA